GCCUGGGUGGCUCAGUCGGUUAAGCGUCCGACUUCGGCUCAGGUCACAAUCUCACUGUCCGUGGGUUCGAGCCCCGCAUCGGGCU
rfam:Felis catus isolate Cinnamon breed Abyssinian chromosome C2, whole genome shotgun sequence.